GGUGGGAGACGUCCCACC
rnacentral:misc_RNA from 1 species